rnacentral:sRNA from 1 species
GACGCGGCGUGCUUGCACGCCUGCGGAUCUGGGCACUAGCGACGACAACAGGUAUGAGCAAGGAAUGACGCGCAAGCGGUAUGAGAUUGCGAAUGCCUGUAGGAUUACGGGAGCUGCGAAGCAGCGGAGCAAUCCGUCG